rnacentral:rRNA from 1 species
CACCAGGUUGAUUCUGCCUGACGUAUGCGCUUGUCUUGAAGAUUUAGCCAUGCAAGCUAGCGAAGCAUUUAAUGUGGAGCAGCAGACAGCUCAGUAAUACAGUUAUGAUUUACCCGUAGAAGUGGGAUAACCAUGGAAACCUAUGGCUAAUACCACAUAGCGAUCAGCAAAUAUGAAUAUUGCGAUCGUGAUACGGUUAAGUAUCUGACCUAUUAGCUAGUUGGUAGGGUAACGGCCUACCAAGGCGAUGAUGGGUAACGGAGAAUCAGGGUUCGAUUCCGGAGAGGGAGCCUGAGAAAUAGCUCCCACAUCCAAGGAUGGCAGCAGGCGCGAAACUUACCCAAUAUAAUAUAAUGAGGUAGUGAAGAGACAUGACUUUUGUAGAGAGGGGUACGUAAAAACUACCUUGAUCAACUGGAGGGCAAGUCUGGUGCCAGCAGCCGCGG